GACGUCCGCGCGCGGCGGCCGCCGCUCCGCGAGGACCAGGAGCCGCCCGGGGACGGGCCCUAAGCGGUGCUGGAGCCGGGCUUCACUGCGGGAACAGAACGUGGCCAAGGCUUUACAAGAACGCGGCUGAAAAAGGAAAACACAGAAGACAACCCGACCACAAAUGACCCAGUUUUUGGCUGUUCCC